rnacentral:rRNA from 1 species
GGUAUUGAAAUAAGAUUUUAAAUGAGUGCUAAGAGAAUGAUUAAACAAUUAAAAGCUUUCUUUAAUUAAAAAAUUAAAUUUAAUUUUUUUAGUGCAAAAGCAAAAAUAAAAUUUAGGGACAAGAAGACCCUAUGAAUUUUUAUUGUUAAUAAUUAAAAUUUAAGUUAUUAAUAAUUUAAUUGGGGCGAUAAAAAAAGAAUAAGUAUCUUUUUAGUUAUAAAAUAAGUUCCGUUUUUAGCGAUUAAAUGAAAUAAAUACUCUAGGGAUAACAGCGUAAUAAUUUUGGAUAGUUCAUAUAGAUAAAAUAGUUUGCGACCUCGAUGUUGGAUUAGGAUUCUUUUUUGGUGAAGAA